rnacentral:lncRNA from 1 species
AUAGUUGCCUGAAAACACUUGUUAGAUAAUACCCUAUCUGAUUUAUCUUGGUGUUAGUGUCUGUUAUUUUUUUUCUCAUUUCUGUGGGAUUUUUCUGAUUCUUGGCAUGUCAAGCAUUUUUUAAAUUGUAUCCCAGAUAUUUUCUAUAUUAUGAGACCAUGAAUCCUAGUUAACCUUUUUUAAGUGGGUAUAGUGCCAGGGUCAGGUGGGUGUGUUUGUUCAGCUUCCUAAUAGACUCCUCCAAACCAUCCUGGUAAAAAUGGGGCACUGACUCACACUGCAUUGUUGCAGAUGGGUGGGGUGAAAGUUCAAGUCCUUCUUCAUCCCACAGUCAUCUUCCUGGUCAAAGUGGGACGCUGACUCACACCACCUUGUUGCUAUGAGUAGGAGUGGAGGGUCAGCUUGGCUCUGCAUAUUGUUGAUAUCAGGAAAGGGGAGAAGCAAAACAUCAGCUACCCUUCCUUAUGACACUCUAUUCUGCCUUGUUGUUGCCAAGUGGAGGUGAAGGGUCAGCACCCAAUGGACCUUCAUGACAGGGCCUGGAGGGGUGAAGCCUCAUUGUAACCAGCUCUGCCUUUUACUGCAUUGUCAAAUUUCAUUGCUGCUGGGUGGGGGUGAAGGCUCAGCUCACUGUUUGACCCCACUGACACUACCCCUGUGGGGGAAUCAGAGCACUGUCUGCUUCCAGGCAAGGCAUGGAAUCUCAGCUCCUCCUGCCACCCACUUCUGCCAGGCAGAGGAUGCAAGAUUAGCUCUGUGCUCGGCCCUGCCAAUACCACCAGAUUGGGAAAUCAGAGUUCCCUUGCUUGCUUCCACAGGGUAGAGGGUAGUACAGCUUUUCUGUUGGUGUUUGGCUGGUGUAGGGCUGAUAUUGCUAAAAGCUUUUCUAUUCAUAGCCCAUCCAUUCCAAGACCUUUGGCUAAAGAGAACACACUUUUCUUAAGGCUUUUGUUUCAUUGUCUGUGCCUAUUGGUAGUUCUGGGUUGGAGGUUUCUGUAGUGCCCUGUCCAUGGCAUAUGAGAAGCAGAAGGAAACAGAGAACUCAUCACCCUGCAGUUCAUCAACUCUUGAUGUCUCUGGACAGCCCAUCUUCUUCCAUGUAUCUUUUCAGAGUUUUGCUAUGCUUGUUUAUUGUUUUGUUUCCAAAGAUUUCUAUGUGUAGUAGGAAGGACUUUUAUUUUUUAUGUCGUUAGUUUUUCUGAACUUUCAGAAAGAGAUGUGAAGGUUUCUGAAUUUUCUGAAAGAGGUGUGAAAAGCCUUUCAAACUUCACAGAGCUCCCUUCUAUUGGUUGUGUCUAGGGCUCAAAAAUAUGUCAACUUGGCUUUCUGAGAUGUUCUGCCUUUAUUCUCCUCCGUCCCUUUAGUCUAAACCUUCUCUCUCUGUCACCUUUGUUGUCCCUAUCCUGCUUGAUUUUCAUUCCACUAGAAGCAGUCUCUCUUCAGUGUAGGUCCCUGCCCUAAAAGGGAUCCCUGGCAGGUGAUUUCAGAGGAGCUACACUGCUCCAUCCCCUUCAGCUUAUCUUACACAAGCCCCUUGAGCCCUACUGGUAUUGGAGAAAACAAACCCCUCCUUUUAGAGCUGCUGUUCUGGAAUCAUCCCACCAAUGCUUUCCUUGCUUCCUCCUACACAAGAUGUCACUUGUAGUCAGGUGGCUUGUCUCCACACCCCAUAUUUUGGGAUUCAUGAAAACAUCCUGUCACCAUGUUUUUAAAAAAUAUAUUGUCCUUGGUGUUUCGUGUUUAGUUUUGUUUCGAUGUCUAGCUGCUUUGUCUUUCCUUUUUUUAAUGUGGCAAUGCAAAGAAACUAAACAACUUUACUGCAACUGUUGUCUUGCAGAAUUCUGUCUUUUCAUUCUUCAUCUCCUAUUGUCCAUUCUUCUCAUGACAGCCAGUGUGGUGUCUUCUCUGCAUUGUUCCUUCAUGAACAAG